GACAGAGGGUGCAAACGUUGUUCGGAAUUACUGGGCGUAAAGCGCGUGUAGGCGGCUAAGUAAGUCGGGCGUGAAAUCCCACGGCUCAACCGUGGAAGUGCACUCGAAACUGCAUAGCUAGAGUCCUGGAGAGGAAGGUGGAAUGCUUGGUGUAGAGGUGAAAUUCGUAGAUAUCAAGCGGAACACCGGUGGCGAAGGCGGCCUUCUGGACAGUGACUGACGCUGAGGCACGAAAGCGUGGGGAUCAAACAGG
rnacentral:rRNA from 1 species